GGGCGUCUAGCUCAAAUGGUAGAACGAUCGCUUCGCAUGCGAGAGGUACUGGGAUCGAUACCCAGGUCGUCCA
rfam:Gregarina niphandrodes unplaced genomic scaffold scaffold00244, whole genome shotgun sequence.